GCCUUCAUGGUGUAGUGGUCAGCACACUUGAUGCAUAAUCGAGAAGUCCAUGGUUCGAUUCCCGACGAAGGCG
rnacentral:tRNA from 1 species